AAGUGGACACAGAACAGGGGCGAGGACCUGCACAGAGCGGCUGUACAGAUGGAUUCACCCCGUGAGAGCUCACGUUAGGAAACUAACUUCCUCUGGAGUCUGCCGAAUAGGCCGAGCCCUAGGAUCUGUUGUGAUAGACCACACCACAAAAGAGGGGUAAAGAGAGGUCAGAUAGGCAGGGGGUGAGCACACCUGGACUCCGGACUGGACUGAUAUGACGACCCAAAACCUGGCUCAACCCUCCACAAGACCAUAAACAAGUUAUUAGAAUGCUCUAUGCCUCCGUUUUCUCACCGGCAAAUGGCCUUUUGAAUUCACAGGGAGAAGGUGGCUGUCUGCAACCCAAAGGAA
rnacentral:lncRNA from 10 species